GAUAAUUAUGGCGUAAGAAGUUCUGUCUAGGAGAUUGGGUUUUAAGCGGGACCAGUGUGACCCCUCUAAUCUUUCCUGGGAACUUGCUUAGUUGAAGGAUUAUCCAUACGGUACUAUUUUCGUAUAUAUAGCAGUUUGUAAUGAAAUGGUUGAAGACUAGCAAGACGACAACACAAAGGAACAGUUGGGUUCCAUAAAUUCAAGGAUCUGAUGGAGUGGUGAUUUCUCCAAAGAAGUUAGAUUCGGUGACUGUGAUUUCUCGAGGGUAGAAUUGAUGAAGACCUUGAUAAUGGAAGAGAAAUACAACAAGGAGAUAAAGAUUG
rnacentral:lncRNA from 1 species